ACGUAGGGUGCGAGCGUUAAUCGGAAUUACUGGGCGUAAAGCGUACGCAGGCGGCUGGGUAAGACAGGUGUGAAAUCCCCGGGCUUAACCUGGGAAUGGCGCUUGUGACUGGCGGGCUGGAGUACGGCAGAGGGGGGUGGAAUUCCACGUGUAGCAGUGAAAUGCGUAGAGAUGUGGAGGAACACCGAUGGCGAAGGCAGCCUCCUGGGAUGACACUGACGCUCAUGCACGAAAGCGUGGGGAGCAAACAG
rnacentral:rRNA from 1 species